rnacentral:rRNA from 2 species
UACGAACUGUGCGAACGUUAUUCGGAAUCACUGGGCUUAAAGGGUGCGUAGGCGGUUACCUAAGUCAGGUGUGAAAUCUCUCGGCUCAACCGGGAAACUGCGCUUGAAACUGGGUGACUGGAGUGAUGCAGGGGUGUGUGGAACUUCCGGUGGAGCGGUGAAAUGUGUAGAUAUCGGAAGGAACGCCAGCAGCGAAAGCGGCACACUGGGCAUUUUCUGACGCUGAGGCACGAAAGCUAGGGGAGUGAACGGG